AUAAAGGGAGAGGGGAAAGGCUUAAACCCCACAGAAGCUCAAGGCUCAAGCCCACAGCCGCCCCUCUGCAGCCCGCAGAGCAGGGAGGCUGGAAGGCACCACCCCUCUGGCCCGAGAAGGGGCCCUGAGCCGAGAGAAGACUCAAGCUGCCUGAAAGAUGAUUAAAAGCCUGAAGCAUACAGAGCUCACCCAGGGAAGUGAAGGGGUCUCAGAGGCUGCGUUAAGGUCCUGAGAAGCAAAAUGGGCCCAAACCCUUGGCCCACCUAGAGCCCUCCAAGCACAUCCCACCAGGACCUUUUAAACUAGUGAAUCGUUCACCUCCCAUUGCUUCUUCACAAAUGAACCAAGAGGUUCCUGGAGCCUCACGCCAUGGUCAGCAAUGACCCUUGAGUGGCCAGGAAGUGGUUUCUAUUCUAGGUCCCUCAGGCAAAGACAAAGCAGGUCAUUAUAUGGAGCUGGCGAGCCUCCCUGAUCAUCAUUGGCCGUGGUGGAGUGGGGAGGUGAAGGUAACACCUUCACAGCUACAGAUAUUCCUUAGCAGAGCUGUGGAGUGUGACAAUGGUGUUUGUGUCCAAACUAUCAAACGCCAUUAUCACACUAAAUAGCUACUGUUAGGCAAUCCUUCCACUCAAUAAAUGCCUUGGCAUCUGUUUGGUAUGCGUAAGAAGGUUCAUCUGACAGCAGGGCUUCCAGUCAUGUGUAAUUACUGAAUAAAUUACGGUCCUUUUGGGGUCACAACCAAUAUGUCAUCUGAACCUUGCCUUUCACCUGCUGUUGUUGAAUACUUUAGCUGAUGAUAAAUUUUCUUAUUAUUCCUGAGUCAAUAAAAAGAUUGCAGUGCUCCCCCACAAGCAUCCAACACAGGGCUAGGCACAUUGGAAUUUGUUCAACCCACAGUUGUUGAGUUGAAAUAAAUAGCUAGGAAAGUGUUAGACACAGAAAACUAAAAUUGGGUCAGAUCUAGUUUAUGCAAACCACACACUCAUAUGAAGGUUGGACAAUUAAGUUCACGAACUUUCUACCAUGUAAGGGCACAGUGGAAAGUUCGCGAAAAAUUAAGGUUUGGGUCCUCCACACUUCAUCAUGGAAAAACAACUUUCUAAUAAACACAUGUGGCUUAACUGA